rnacentral:rRNA from 1 species
GACGAACGCUGGCGGCGUGCUUAACACAUGCAAGUCGAACGGAAAGGCCCUGCUUUUGUGGGGUGCUCGAGUGGCGAACGGGUGAGUAACACGUGAGUAACCUGCCCUUGACUUUGGGAUAACUUCAGGAAACUGGGGCUAAUACCGGAUAGGAGCUCCUGCUGCAUGGUGGGGGUUGGAAAGUUUCGGCGGUUGGGGAUGGACUCGCGGCUUAUCAGCUUGUUGGUGGGGUAGUGGCUUACCGAGGCUUUGACGGGUAGCCGGCCUGAGAGGGUGACCGGCCACAUUGGGACUGAGAUACGGCCCAGACUCCUACGGGAGGCAGCAGUGGGGAAUAUUGCACAGUGGGCGGAAGCCUGAUGCAGCAACGCCGCGUGCGGGAUGACGGCCUUCGGGUUGUAAACCGCUUUCGCCUGUGACGAAGCGUGAGUGACGGUAAUGGGUAAAGAAGCACCGGCUAACUACGUG